UAAGGAAGGGUUAACUGUGCCUUUCUUUGUGGAACUAAGGAGGAAUAAGGCUCAGAUGAGGAGAUCCCCAGGCUUGCUGCAAAGAAGGCCAGCAAUCGGUGUCAGCUGUGAAAGCAGCAUUUAAUAGUUUGCUGUGUGUUACCUGACCACAACUUCUGUAUCCAUGCCUGGACUUUGGAAUUCAUACUGCUCCUGGACUUGGGUAGUGAACACCAUCUCAUUGCUUGGAAUUCUGGUAGUUGACUUUGACUCUGGGCUGGACAUUUGGCUUCCCUUCUGCUUGUUCUUUUGGGUUCUGUUUCUUCUGUGGACUAACUGACUUGACCUUGGACUGUUGUACGCUCAUGUUGGUGGUUUGAAGUCAAGGCUCAUAACAGACACCAUUGGGUUAGCGUAUUCAAGGCUCAGAAAUGUGGAACCUUCUAUAGCGCUUGCCAGUGUAAGAAAAAGGAGGUUUUCUGAAGCACCCCUCCUUGAUUUUGCAGUUGGUACAGCUGAAGUAUCUUCUGCAGAGUCCACUGUAAACACUGCAUAACAGAUAGAUAAGAAGUCAAACAAGGCCUUCUGAAAUGCUGCAGCAGAUAACAGCGUGUUUCAAAGAAUGACUACAUAGCCCAUCCUUAUGUUGGUG